GCGGACGGGUGAGUAAUGCUUAGGAAUCUGCCUAUUAGUGGGGGACAACAUUCCGAAAGGAAUGCUAAUACCGCAUACGCCCUACGGGGGAAAGCAGGGGAUCUUCGGACCUUGCGCUAAUAGAUGAGCCUAAGUCAGAUUAGCUAGUUGGUGGGGUAAAGGCCUACCAAGGCGACGAUCUGUAGCGGGUCUGAGAGGAUGAUCCGCCACACUGGGACUGAGACACGGCCCAGACUCCUACGGGAGGCAGCAGUGGGGAAUAUUGGACAAUGGGCGCAAGCCUGAUCCAGCCAUGCCGCGUGUGUGAAGAAGGCCUUUUGGUUGUAAAGCACUUUAAGCGAGGAGGAGGCUACUUGGAUUAAUACUCUAGGAUAGUGGACGUUACUCGCAGAAUAAGCACCGGCUAACUCUGUGCCAGCAGCCGCGGUAAUACAGAGGGUGCGAGCGUUAAUCGGAUUUACUGGGCGUAAAGCGUGCGUAGGCGGCUUUUUAAGUCGGAUGUGAAAUCCCUGAGCUUAACUUAGGAAUUGCAUUCGAUACUGGGAAGCUAGAGUAUGGGAGAGGAUGGUAGAAUUCCAGGUGUAGCGGUGAAAUGCGUAGAGAUCUGGAGGAAUACCGAUGGCGAAGGCAGCCAUCUGGCCUAAUACUGACGCUGAGGU
rnacentral:rRNA from 1 species